rnacentral:lncRNA from 1 species
AAACGAACUGUGGCUUUAACAAUAAUAAUUACUUUUAUAUCGAUAUCUUUUUUAUGCAUAUGCAAACAAUUUCAUUACUAUUCUCCUUGACCACGCACGCCUUUUGUUGUACAGGUAAUUUCAAGAGCAGACGUACAAUAUCUCUGACAUUUGUUCGAUAAUAAUGAACUAUGAACGCGGAGAAUAUUACUAGAUAUACAUUACAAUCAUUAGUAGGACAUAUUACAUCUUUUGUGAAAAACUGCGUACAUUUUGUUGAUAAGUUACCGCGGACGGGGAUUGAUGAAAAUAACGUGACGGCCGUAGACAAGAAGUGAUGGCGUAGAUUACGUUGAUGGUCAAUUUUUAUGUUGAAGUUCGUCACAAACGUGUAGUAAUUUCAUGUUCAAUUCGAUACAUAUUGGAAAACAAAAUAAUAGAAGAAUUAUUAGAGGUAGAGAUUACAUAUAUUACAAGGAUAUUCCCAGGAAAACCAGAGCAUUCGAAAUAACUACAUACGCAAGCUAAAAUGACUAUGGGCCAGAUGGUAUAUCUAGAAGAAUCGAUAACCAAUGGUGAAACACGAUAUUAUAAUAAAGAAAAUAAGGUAAACACGUCACAAGCCCACCGAAAAAUGAAGCCUGGAGAUGACUCCAAUUAGCGCCCCAAUAAACUUUGCAUAUACCUCCACACAGAUAAUAAUUGUUUAUUAUAUACCACUCU